AUCGAACGCUGGCGGCAGGCCUAACACAUGCAAGUCGAGCGGACGGCGGACGGGUGAGUAAGUUAUGGGGACUGCCUGAUAGAGGGGGCUAACUACUGGAAACGGUGGCUAAUACCGCAUACGAUCGGAUAACCCAUAUGGGAUUAGCUAGUCGGGGGUGUAAAGGCUGACCUAGGCGACGAUCCCUAGCUGGUCUGAGAGGAUGAUCAGCCACACUGGGACUGAGACACGGCCCAGACUCCUACGGAGGCAUCAGUGGGGAAUAUUGUGCAAUGGGCGCAAGUCUGAUGCAGCCAUGCCGCGUGUAUGAAGAAGGUUUUCGGGUUGUAAAGUACUUUCAGUGGGGAAGCGGUACCUACAGAAGAAGCACCGGCUAACUCCGUGCCAGCAGCCGCGGUAAUAC
rnacentral:rRNA from 1 species